rnacentral:rRNA from 1 species
UACGGAGGAUCCAAGCGUUAUCCGGAUUUACUGGGCGUAAAGAGUUGCGUAGGUGGCAUGAUAAGUCGGUAGUGAAAGCGUGGGGCUCAACCCCAUAUCCAUUACCGAAACUAUUAAGCUAGAGGAUGAGAGAGGUUAUUGGAAUUCCCUGUGUAGGAGUGAAAUCCGUAGAUAUAGGGAGGAACACCGAUGGCGUAAGCAGAUAACUGGCUCAUUCCUGACACUAAGGCACGAAAGCGUGGGGAGCAAACGGG